rnacentral:rRNA from 1 species
GACGGGGAGGUUUGGCACCUCGAUGUCGGCUCAUCGCAUCCUGGGGCUGUAGUCGGUCCCAAGGGUUGGGCUGUUCGCCCAUUAAAGCGGUACGCGAGCUGGGUUCAGAACGUCGUGAGACAGUUCGGUCCCUAUCCGUCGUGGGCGUAGGAAAUUUGAGAGGAGCUGUCCUUAGUACGAGAGGACCGGGAUGGACAUACCUCUGGUGUACCAGUUGUCGUGCCAACGGCAUAGCUGGGUAGCUAUGUGUGGACGGGAUAAGUGCUGAAAGCAUCUAAGCAUGAAGCCCCCCUCAAGAUGAGAUUUCCCAACUUCGGUUAUAAGAUCCCUCAAAGAUGAUGAGGUUAAUAGGUUCGAGGUGGAAGCAUGGUGACAUGUGGAGCUGACGAAUACUAAUCGAUCGAAGAC